AUUGAACGCUGGCGGCAGGCCUAACACAUGCAAGUCGAGCGGAUGAAGGGAGCUUGCUCCUGGAUUCAGCGGCGGACGGGUGAGUAAUGCCUAGGAAUCUGCCUGGUAGUGGGGGAUAACGUCCGGAAACGGGCGCUAAUACCGCAUACGUCCUGAGGGAGAAAGUGGGGGACCUUCGGACCUCACGCUAUCAGAUGAGCCUAGGUCGGAUUAGCUAGUUGGUGGGGUAAAGGCCUACCAAGGCGACGAUCCGUAACUGGUCUGAGAGGAUGAUCAGUCACACUGGAACUGAGACACGGUCCAGACUCCUACGGGAGGCAGCAGUGGGGAAUAUUGGACAAUGGGCGAAAGCCUGAUCCAGCCAUGCCGCGUGUGUGAAGAAGGUCUUCGGUUUGUAAAGCACUUUAAGUUGGGAGGAAGGGCAGUAAGUUAAUACCUUGCUGUUUUGACGUUACCAACAGAAUAAGCACCGGCUAACUUCGUG
rnacentral:rRNA from 1 species